AAGAAGACUAAUUUUUAGUUCUUUGAUACAAUAUUUUGACUCUUCUUCUUAUUUGAAUUUUUUUACGAUUGAUAUUUUUGUUCUUACUAGAUGAUAAAGCAUGAAUAAUACUUUAUGCAUGACUAAUUUUUUUAAGUUUUUGUAUAAAUUUUUUAAAUAAGACAAAUGGUCAAAUGUUAGAUACGAAAAAAC
rnacentral:pre_miRNA from 1 species